UUGAACCAGAAUUUGCUAUUGUUAUAUUCAAAGAGGAAAGGUGUAGCAAGAAUAUUAACAAUAAGUCAGUAGACAAGAGGUUGCACUAACAAAGGGGGGGAAAAAAACGUGUCCAAUCACCCUCAAGCACUUAGCUGCAACCAUUUACAUAUAAACAAUAGUUAGACUAAUGGCAUAUCAUUUGUUAACUACUCACUGAAGGAGAUUCAAUAAAAGAUCGUCAUUAGGUAACAUUUAGCAAUCUUGGUUGAUGUUUUUUCCCUCACCUGAGAGUAAUAAAAAUGAGUUCAUCUGCAUUAUUUCAUAAUUUUGCCAAUUUACUCAUUCAGACCGGUUUCUCUCCCAGUUACUUUGAGUUAAUUUUCUCAUCAUUAAGAGAUACUGGAAGCAUUGCUAGCACCUUCAAGGGCAAAAUGAAGAGUUUCAUCUUUGUCUUCCACUUGGACAGGUUUAUAUUCACCUCCUCCACUCACUUUCUGAUUAGCCAGGUCCCAUCCUCCUAGGGAAUUUCUGGUAGAGUUUAAUGCUGUCACUGGGAGCUGAAGAGGUGAAGCGGAUGGGACCCUGAAAUUGGAAACUAUGAAAGAAACGGGCUUGAGCUGGGAACCUUGAACCCAGACCACAUAGGAUUGGUAACAUGAAGCCAAUGAUAGAGGAAGGGGUGGCGAACUCACCUCUAACCUUCUUGCCUAUAUCCAAGGACAUGGUUACACAGCAGAGUAGGCUAGAGCAGUGGGGAGUGGCGGUAAGACUUUGGGGGUGGAAAUGGGAAGAAGGGAAAAGGUCUAAGCCUGUGGAAGGAAAAGCUAACCAUAUCUACACAGGGAUGUCUUUUCUCCUGCCAAGAGAGCUUUGGAGUUCAGAGGAGAACCUGAAGGCUAAGCAGGAAACUAAGUCAGAAGCCCAGGUGUGUGGACUAAACAGGACUGCUGAGACUAGUAAGGCUGCAACUCGGUAAGUACGGUUGCUCGGGCCUAAAUCAGUACUAGGUUCUAGUCUAUGGCACCACAACGAAUUCCAUACCCCAUCCACUGGCAUCCAUAACUUACCUUGGUCAUGUUGGCUUAGAAAUGAGACAAGGAUGAUUCGAAUGUUCCUGCAGAGAAGGACUUUGGCCAGUACAGAGCGUAGAGACGAGGCAAGGCAGAGGCUGCCAUGUGCAGUCAUGGUUGAUAAGAUACCCACUCCCCCAACUCUGUUACGGAGCAAGCAAGCUUUCUAUUAGCCAAUCUGACAAAAUGUGGGCAGUUGACAGAAACAGAAUACCACACUUCAUUUGUGUAGUAAACAUUUAUUGAGUACGUCUAGCAUGGUGCUGGUUUCUGGGGAAUAGGAAACAGAAAUCAAGCAUUCCUUUCCCUCAAGGAGCUUAAUGACCAUUAGAUAUCUCCUAGACACGUACUGAAGUAGCAGCUGAAGACAGAUUAAGUGGCAAGAAGACAGUUACACUCCUUGGCACGACUGGAACUCAGAGGAGAGAUGGGUCAAGGGGGGCUUCGAGGAGGAAGCAAUUCAAGAGGAGACUUAAGAGUGGGUAGAAUUUAUAUAAACACAGAUGAAGGUGGAAGGCAAGUCCAGGUGGAAAAGAGACACCAUAGUGUGUGAGAAUUAAAGGAGAUACUUCACAGAAGUCCUUUAGAAAGAUUCCUGGCACCAAGAAAGCCCACAGCAAAUGAAAUGCAAGGCGAUUCCUGUUAUUGUUGGUUCUACUACUUUUACUGCUGAUACCAUUUGUUUUAUUUGUAUAUUAUUUACUACUUUCGGUAGAGAACGGGGAUUAAAAGUACACGUUUGAGAGACAGUAAAGAGGAGCGGUUCUGGCUUUCUUCUUGAGAAGUGGGUGACAUCAAAGGACCAAUGAAUAAGGGUUUGCAUCACCAUUGUUCCUGUAUCGCCAAUGUAACAGAACUGCCCUGUUCAGAGAGGACCCUGGGGAAAGGUUACCCUGAAACAUUUAAGCUAGGUUCCCACAAACACCAGCACCUGCCUUGUAACUACAAAUCACUGUGUUUUAGUCAAUGAUUGCAUGGGUCAAAAGUGAAACGUUCUAAGCUCCCAGACAAAUAAUUCUUCUCUUUUAUCCUCUUUUCCUUGUACACUGGUCCAGGUGUUUGAGGGCAAACAUGAAAAGGAAGGAGAUUUAAAAGAAAAAAGUGAUACGAUUCUCCUUAGUGCCCAGAGAUGGUGUUGCUAGGACAGAGUAUAAACACUAGUAGAGAACCAGCAGGGGGUGAGGGGUGGGGGUGGUUUGUCUGAAUAUUCAAAAUAUCCCCUUAGGAGCUAUAUUCAAAAAAUGGCCAAUGAGAUUUCAGUGGAGACUGAGUAUUGCCUUAUUGCUGAUUAUUAUCCCUUUUGCAAUGGCCAUUCUCUCUUCAUUCUGUUUACUGUCAUGUUUUAUAAAUAUCAGAGAGGCUUCAGAAGCAGUGUCACUGAGAAGGAGCUGUGUCUGUCUCCCGGGUGCACAGAGCCUGCUUCCCCAAGACAGAAUCUCUGGGUCUGCAAGCUGAUUUCUUAAAGGGGAUUAUUCAGUCAAAGCACCAGGAAGUCAUUUUGGAGACACCUAGAUACGCAGUUUCGAUCAGGCUUUUAAGACUUGACUUCCUCAGAAAAUAUGCAACUAGAGUCGGAAAGAAGAAUUUCCAGAAUGCUGAAUAUGUGCUACAGUGGAUCUGGCCUCUUCCUAAAAGCACCUUUUUGGCCACUGAGGCAGACUCAGGCCCCCAGAGAUUGGAUGGAAGAAGCACUUGGUAAUGAGGAGGAGUCAAGGAAGAGGUUGCCCACAACUUGAGAUAGUUGGAUGCUACAAGGACAGAAACCGAUUAUUACAAAAGUAUAAAACAAAGCAGGACAUGUUUUAUAUGUAUGUAUGCUUGCCUGUAUUUUUUGUGUACAUUUUUGGUACAUAAUUUGGAUAUAGUAUAGAUACUGGAAUUGACCUAUCUUUGGAGGACUCUCAAACCAGAUCAAUGGAUUUGAACCCCAGCACUGUCACUCUUUGCUGUGUGAUCUCGAGGAGUUAUUUAAAUGAUCUGUGACUUCGUUUCUUAAUAUGUAAAACAGACAAUGACGGUACCAACUUUUACAUAUAUAAAGAACUUUAGAAUAAACAAUGUGAGGCAUAGUAGGUACUCAAUACAUAUUACUAGUAGUAGUUGUUCUACUUGAUUUGUAACUAUUUUUUACUCCGUUAGUCCUCAUUUAGUGACAGUCUCAGUUGCCACAAACCUUGAUGUGAUCUGGCUAGAAAGGAAGAAAGUGUAUUUAUAGAGUGUUGUGCACUAAAUGGAAUCCUCACUACAAUUACUUACUACAAAUUUAAGAUGUGCCGGGAACUGCGUCCAGUUGUUAUACAUGUCAUUUAUUUGUUUCCCUUUUGCUGGUGAGGAAACUGAGGCUCAAGGAGAGUUUUAAGGAGUUUACCUCCAGUUCCAUUCCCCCAGCUGGUUAAGAGAUGAAAUUGCAACUGAAGUGUGUGUAAUAUCAAAACCCAAAUUAUUCCUACCUAGGGAAUGCUGGAUACUAUGGAAAACAUAGUAUGCUGGGAUUUAGGAGGUCUGGGUACCAUUCUGAGUACCCAUCCUUAAGAACUCUGUAAUUUUAUGAAAAUAUUAUUUUCUUAUACUGUAUAUAAAAAAGGGCAUCAUAUUAUCUCACUAGAUAAUAUGUUCUAGAGUUAAUGAAAAAUUAAAUGAGGUAAUAAAUGUGAAAGUGACAUUGGAGGGAAUGACAUUUGAGUGAAUGAUAUCAUCUUCAUCAUCAUCGAUAAAUAUAGGGAGUAAGUGGGAAAAUUUCAAAAGAAAGUAGGAACCAAGUGUGAGCCUUGGGCCAGGCAGUUCCUCUCUAGGCUCCACGGUAUUCUUUGGGGAGUUAAAAGAUGGAGGAAUUAAUUUAUUGCUAUAGAUUAAAUCAGGGCAUAACAGAAUUGUGUGGAAAGUAAGAUGGGUGAGACUUUUGAAAGAAAUAAACACCAUUGUCAUUUACCCAUAAUUUGGAGAAAACUUGUUUCUCUGCACAGCUGACAUCUGAUCAUCCACAUCAGUUAAAACUUCAAGUGAAAAAAAUUAAUUUUAUUUUGUGAAUCAAAACGUGGAAUGUGUUUUAAGAAGUAACAUAUGCCAAUAAUUAAUUUGAGCCGCUUAGAACAUUUUGAGAAAUUAGAAAUUUAUAAACAUAGAACAUACUCACGUAUCUGUUGUAGUUAAAGACCAUAUGUUGCCCGGGUAAGAAUUCAUUAAUCUCCUCAUUGUUUUUUCAGUUAUUCGCUUGUGAUGGGACUUCAGUUAUUAACCAUUUGUGACCAUCCUUUAGGUCCAUAUUGACUCAAGUUGCACAAUUGAAAUAUCUUUUGGGGAGAAUAAGUCAAAUAUGUAUUACCUAUUUAUUUAUUACACAGUUAUCUCAUUUAAAACAUUUAGGAAUUGAAAGGGUACCUUCUAUUCUCACAAUUGUAUUGGAAUCAUGGAGUCUUCUUUAUUUUGAAGUCAAGUGUCUGACCUCCAGGACCCUUUCUGCUUGGGAAGAGAAAGGGUUGGCAGGGGAGCAGAGUGGAUCUUUCACAUACAUGGAAAUAUUGCUAAUAAUACAUUCACUGUCCUAACAUAUUAAUAGAGCAUACACAUAGGAAGAUAGAUAUUUCAUUCAAAAAUUCAGUUUUGGGGGAUUCUCAUAACUGAGCCAGUUGGGAAUGAGGUCUCUAAUCAGGUCUAGAAUUUAAAAGAGA